GUGCUUGCUUUGGCAGUACAUAUACUAAAAUUGGAGUGAUACCAGGGAAGAUUACCAUGGCCCCUGCUCAAGGAUGACAUGCAAAUUCAUGAAGGAAUUGAUCU